ensembl:miRNA
AGUCUGGUUACCAGGCAGUGUAGUUAGCUGAUUGCUGAUGGUACCAAUCACUAACCACACGGCCAGGUAAAAAGAUU